UAAAAUUCUACCCAAGGCUGGGGGAAAGUCAAGAUCAACACAAUGCCACGUGGUCUUUUUUUCUUCUCUCUUUUUGCUGCUUCAUGCAGCCGUCUUGUUUUGACGUGUUUCAGAUGCAGACAGAAACUCCUGCUUUGAUUUCCAUGCCAAAGAUGAAAAUGUUUUGCUAAUCUGGAAACAUCCAGAAGAAAGAAAAGAACACAGAUCAGAAUAGACUGACUGCUUUUCCUGAAGUUAAUUGUGGACGCGCAGUUAACCCCCUCACCCCACCCUUCCUCGCUCGACCCCCCGCUCAGAAGGAAGACGACCACAAGUCUGUGAUUUAGACUUUCUUGAAAGCAGUCUGGCAGAGCCGUCACGCUUCCACCUGAUGGAGGGUUUCACGCUGUAAUUACACCGACACAGAGGACACCACAAAAGCUGUCCGCUUAGGAGUCCACCACAGGAUUUCAGGAUGAGUUAAGGAUGCCUACAGUCAGAAGGUUUCCAGAAUCAUCCUUGGAGGAUCAGUUAGAUGAAAGGCUGUUCUUCACAUCUGCCCUGGUCUGGUCUGUUCUGUAGGAACAGAUGGGAACGGCCCACCAAACUCCAACAGAAAAUAAAAGCCUAACCAUUACAAAUAAAAACUCAAAUCUUUGUCCUCAUUUCUGAGCUCAGUGGGUAUCUGAAAACAUGGAGUUUGCUGAUGGAUCAGUAUUCCAGAUCCUUGUAUGAAGAAAAGGAGAAU